AGCGGGCGCGCCUGCAGGGGCGGCUGCGGCGGCGCCCCGGGCCAGAGGAGGCGUCGUCGCCUCAGGCGUAACCCGGGGACCGCCUGGGGGCCAGGUGAGCCGCCGGCAGUUCUGGCACCGCCGCCAGCGGGGGCCGGAUGUGACCUUCUCCUGCCUGGGAAGUCUCAAGCGCUCAGGCUUUCAGUGUGCCCCUGAGGUGGCAAUUUAUAUAAAGGAAGCACUGGGACUUGUGGCCACACCCUUCAAG
rnacentral:lncRNA from 1 species